UGCUAUAGCUCAGUCAGUAGAGCAUGAGACUCUUAAUUUCAGGGCUGUGGGUUUGAGCCCCAUGCUGAGUAA
rnacentral:tRNA from 1 species